GUCCAGACUCCUACGGGAGGCAGCAGUGGGGAAUAUUGCACAAUGGGGGAAACCCUGAUGCAGCGACGCCGCGUGAAGGAUGAAGUAUUUCGGUAUGUAAACUUCUAUCAGCAGGGAAGAAAAUGACGGUACCUGACUAAGAAGCCCCGGCUAACUACGUGCCAGCAGCCGCGGUAAUACGUAGGGGGCAAGCGUUAUCCGGAUUUACUGGGUGUAAAGGGAGCGUAGACGGCUGUGCAAGCCAGAUGUGAAAGCCCGGGGCUCAACCCCGGGACUGCAUUUGGAACUGUGUGGCUGGAGUGUCGGAGAGGCAGGCGGAAUUCCUAGUGUAGCGGUGAAAUGCGUAGAUAUUAGGAGGAACACCAGUGGCGAAGGCGGCCUGCUGGACGAUGACUGACGUUGAGGCUCGAAAGCGUGGGGAGCAAACAGGAUUAGAUACCCGAGUAU
rnacentral:rRNA from 1 species